UCCCUCUUAUGCAAGGUCUGGUUCACGAGGUAAGGAACGUGGAAAAUUUAUGGUAUCAUCAAUCACGCGCUAAAACGUCCUAAAAUGUAUAAUAAUUAACAAGUCUAUCGAUUUGAGACGUAUGAAAGAGACGCUAAAUUAUAAGUCUGCGAAAAAAUUGAGUACAAGACUAAAGUGGAGGUUCACUAUGAACAAGGUAACGAGGAGUUGCCCAACUUGCGCGAGCAGGGAACAGAACAAGCUGCGAGUGGGGGGGGGGGGGAGUUUCUUAACGUGGAAGACGAGGAUGUGUGGUGAGACGUUGUGGAACUUGACCAGAGUGCAGCCGCCUGCACUCAGUUGAUGAUGGCUCUAGGGACAUACAAACACCUUAGGGAAAAUAAGACCCGUUUAUGACGAGUGUGAAAAUGGCUAAAACGUUAAACGGUUGCAGUGCCUGGGACAUCACUUGACGCACCUGAAGGAUAUGUUAACUGCAGGACACUAACACCUUUAUCAUGAGUACUGACUGACAAUAUUCCAUCUCUGCUCUCCGCCUGCACCCAGACAGCAGGGCGGCGUGACCGCUGUGGCACCCAGUACGUUACCCUUCUGAUGGCUCUUCCCUCGUAUUUACCACUAGUACCACGCGUGAUAAUUGCGCACAAUUGUACUCUUUUUACCUGCCUAGUGCUAGUAACUGUGGAAAUUUAACCAAAGAAAAGGCUCUGAUUAACGCUAAGGUGUAAAUUUGACAUUAAAAUUGCUUAAAUUACUA